UAAACCUGAUGAUAUUGAUGGUGACGACGAAGAUGAUGAUGGUGUAAAAAAUCAUCAUCAUCAUCGUCAUCAUCAUCAUUAUCAUUA
rnacentral:pre_miRNA from 1 species